UCCACGAGGUAAAUUUCUAGCAGGUUCCUCCUGUUGGCUUAUUAAAUUCUCACCACCUCCCUCUAGUGGUUACCUACACUCAUGUAACAGUACAUUGAAUUUAAGAAUUUAUUGUGUCGUGACUUAUUCAAUUAAUUAUGUAUAACAACUCAUUAUACUAUUUAACACUGUAUAACAGCUCAUCAUAUCAAUUAACAAUUCAUAACCCCACCUAUGAAAGUCAACUUUUUAUUGCCAAACUCUUCUGUCAUGUCACUGUUUUGUGAUGCUGCUUUGGAACACUAUUAUGCUCACACACUGCAACUAUGUAGGAAUGAUUUGGUUAAAGGAAAAUAACUUUCUGAAGCUUCUUUAGCCUUAAAGAUGUUCUCAUUUUUAGUUCAUCUAAAGAAAUAUGUUGACUCAAUAACAUUUUACAACCUUUUCCUCCUGAAUACAUUAAAAUUUAUUUUAAAAAUUACAUAUACAUAUUUUUCUGAAUAAGUAUUUGUAUUAUAUUGACUUAGUUUCAGUAUAAUAUUGGGAAUUCUAAUAAUUUGAAUUCCAAGUUAUAUGAAACCAUCAGUGAAAUUUGUUAAUAUGAAGAAAUUAUAAGGCAUUGAUGUUUAUUUUUCUUCUGCUACUGAAGCAAUAUACUGAGUAUGCAAAGAACACCAAACUAUUGAGUUAUCACUUGAUAUUUUUAAUGGCAAGAAAGUGCACAAAUGAAGAACUUACUCUGGAAUGGUUUCUUUGCACCAAGGAACUCUACAAAUCUAAAUGGCCUUGAGGACCAUAAGAAUUCAGCACAAGACCAGCAUCACAAACACAACAUUUUUACUCCUGGCUAUCCUCCUCUCCGACAGAACUGGAAGAUAAGAGAAUGAAAAAAAGAACAAAUAUGAGAAAAAGGAGAGGAAGGAAUCUGCCUUGCAAGUCCUUGAAAGCUGGAUAGGCGGGAGAAUGUUGGACAAUUAUCAUUGAAAGGAAGCACAGACUUUUUUCCUCCAUAAGAGCAAAAAAUG